CAAGUCUCUUACAACGAAGGUAUAGCAAACCAGGUUGUCCCCGAGUCAUGCGCAGUAUGUCGCGAGACAUGCGGCGAAGCGUUGACAGGGGUACGUGCGGGCCAGUCAUUGAGCCACGGGGCAGGCAAUGUCUCCAUCAUUCAAGCGCCUGAAAUCUUCGGAUUGAUCGAUGCAACGCUUACGCCGGUAUCUCCGCCGCUAAAAGAUCU
rnacentral:autocatalytically_spliced_intron from 1 species